UCUUUGGAAAUGAGGGUGGUCACCGAUCCCAGACAAGCCCUGAAAUGAAAGACCCCAGAGCAGGGAGACCCUCACUCAAGUCUCGGGAUGAUAUGACUCCACAAGAACUCACAUAAGACU
rnacentral:pre_miRNA from 14 species